CCCAGGGCUUACGCCCUGGGCUAUUCUUUGCCGCCCCUGACGGGGCU
rnacentral:sRNA from 1 species